rnacentral:rRNA from 1 species
AGUCCACGCCGUAAACGAUGAGUGCUAAGUGUUAGAGGGUUUCCGCCCUCUAGUGCUGCAGCAAACGCAUUAAGCACUCCGCCUGGGGAGUACGGCCGCAAGGCUGAAACUCAAAGGAAUUGACGGGGGCCCGCACAAGCGGUGGAGCAUGUGGUUUAAUUCGAAGCAACGCGAAGAACCUUACCAGGUCUUGACAUCCUCUGACAACCCUAGAGAUAGGGCGUUCCCCUUCGGGGGACAGAGUGACAGGUGGUGCAUGGUUGUCGUCAGCUCGUGUCGUGAGAUGUUGGGUUAAGUCCCGCAACGAGCGCAACCCUUGAUCUUAGUUGCCAGCAUUCAGUUGGGCACUCUAAGGUGACUGCCGGUGACAAACCGGAGGAAGGUGGGGAUGACGUCAAAUCAUCAUGCCCCUUAUGACCUGGGCUACACACGUGCUACAAUGGAUGGAACAAAGGGUCGCGAAGCCGCGAGGUCGAGCCAAUCCCAUAAAUCCAUUCUCAGUUCGGAUUGCAGGCUGCAACUCGCCUGCAUGAAGCCGGAAUCGCUAGUAAUCGCGGAUCAGCAUGCCGCGGUGAUACGUUCCCGGGCGUUGUACACACCGCCCAU